UUAAUCCGCCUGGGAAUUACGGACACCAGUCUAAAAACCAAAGGACUUGGCGGUGCUUUAUAUCCACCUAGAGGAGCCUGUUCUGUAACCGAUAAUCCCCGUUUAACCUCACCCUCCCUUGCUUUAUCCACCUAUAUACCGCCGCCGCCAGCUUACCCUGAGAAGGACAAGUCGUAUGCAAAAUUGACACAGCCCAAGACGUCAGGUCGAGGUGUAGUUAAUGGGAGGGGAAGAAAUGGGCUACAUUUGCUGAACUGAAGCAAACACGGAUGUUCCAUUGAAACAUGGGACUGAAGGAGGAUUUAGUUGUAAGCGGGAAGCAGAGCGUCCCGCUGAAAUCGGCCCUGAAGCGCGCACACACCGCCCGUCAACC
rnacentral:rRNA from 1 species